rnacentral:rRNA from 1 species
GACGAACGCUGGCGGCGUGCCUAAUACAUGCAAGUUGAGCGCUGAAGGUUGGUACUUGUACCGACUGGAUGAGCAGCGAACGGGUGAGUAACGCGUGGGGAAUCUGCCUUUGAGCGGGGGACAACAUUUGGAAACGAAUGCUAAUACCGCAUAAAAACUUUAAACACAAGUUUUAAGUUUGAAAGAUGCAAUUGCAUCACUCAAAGAUGAUCCCGCGUUGUAUUAGCUAGUUGGUGAGGUAAAGGCUCACCAAGGCGAUGAUACAUAGCCGACCUGAGAGGGUGAUCGGCCACAUUGGGACUGAGACACGGCCCAAACUCCUACGGGAGGCAGCAGUAGGGAAUCUUCGGCAAUGGACGAAAGUCCGACCGAGCAACGCCGCGUGAGUGAAGAAGGUUGUCGGAUCGUAAAACUCUGUUGGUAGAGAAGAACGUUGGUGAGAGUGGAAAGCUCAUCAAGUGACGGUAACUACCCAGAAAGGGACGGCUAACUACGUG